rnacentral:rRNA from 1 species
AUGGCAUCUUCUACUCUGAAAUCAGGUGUGCCUGUCACUCUGCAAGAGCUAGAGCCCUCCUCGCAGAUGUUCAAGCAUGGGGCGUCCCUCCGGGUAACAGGAACCCUUCAGUCAUACGAUGUGGACUCCGCGGUUGCCGUCAUACGAGAUGGCAGCGUGACGCUUAGAAUUGACACCCAGCACCUGAGGGAAAUCGGUUUCCGCAGUGGCUCUAUGUUCCAGUUCAUCGCCGAGCUCUUGAUCCGGCCAAACAGACGCGAUUCUGCAAGCACGUGUGGGCAGGAACGUUGA